AGCUCCAAUAGCGUAUAUUAAAGUUGUUGCAGUUAAAAAGCUCGUAGUUGGAUUUCGGAAUGGGCCAGUUGGUCCGCCGCAAGGUGAGUUACUGACUGGUUUGUUCUUCUUCGCAAAGACUGCGUGUGCUCUUUACUGAGUGUACGUAGGAUUUACGACGUUUACUUUGAAAAAAUUAGAGUGUUCAAAGCAGGCUAUCGCUUGAAUACAUGAGCAUGGAAUAAUGGAAUAGGACAUUGGUGCUAUUUUGGUGGUUUCUAGGACCGAAGUAAGGAGUAAGAGGGACAAUUGGGGGCAACCGUAUUACGUUGUCAGAGGUGAAAUUCUAGGAUUUACGAAAGACGAACAACUGCGAAAGCACUUGCCAAGAGUGUUUUCA
rnacentral:rRNA from 1 species